CUUUGGGGUGAGUCCAACACAUCUAUGCUGCAGCUGAUCAUAUUGUAGCCUGCUGAGAAGGACCUCUUGAUCUUCAGAGCACAUUUCCUGGCAGAAAAAAUAAGGCAAGCACAAGAGGACCUCAUUCCAGUCUGCUCUUGGCCAUGCAAUGGACUAUGCUCUAUGAAUUGGCAGGGUCCAGAAAUGUGUUGUAAACUGCACAGCUUAAAGGUCUCAUCCGUAUUUUCAUCUAUGGCUUGCUUCUCCAUUUCAUUCACAAAGAUGUUGGGAGAGAUGUAAACACCCGAGUAGACUAUGCACACCACAGUCCCCCUGCUCUACCAAGCUACUUUUCUUCUGGCGAAUGGCUCAACCCCAGCUCUUAUUGCUCAUUGCCAUUUUUCUGUAAGUAUUCACAAACAAUACAAGUCAUUCAUUCUAGAUUUUCAUUAAAACAAAAAACAACACUUUAAAAUAAAAGCUUUCUACUCUCCCUAGUCUUCCAACAUCUUUCUCAUCUUCACGCUUUCUCAAAGAUUCCUGAUGGGGUAAAAUAAAACACGUGAAAGGGGUAAAGGAAUAAAAAUUGUGUGAGCAUCUUCUGUGGCCUCAGAGUCACACCAGG
rnacentral:lncRNA from 1 species